rnacentral:piRNA from 1 species
UUCCUUGUGAGAACUUUGGUGAUGUGUC